rnacentral:lncRNA from 1 species
CCUACCUGACUUGUGCUUUGUCACACAACAGGUUUCUUUUGCUCUGGGCAUUAGAGAAAUAAGAUGGAAAUGACAGAGAUCUUUGAUAGAAAUGUAAAGAUGGGAAUACCCACAAAAUCAGCAGAGUAGGUCAAAAUUCAAAACAGAGAACUGCACUCAAGAGUUCCGGAUCUGUUGUUGCUCUAGUCAAAGGCCAGGGAGAGCUCCUGCUCAGCACACAGAAGUGGGAAUCAAGCAGCUCCUGCACCUAAGCAAGCCCAUUCCUCUCAGGAUCAGCAGCUCUGGCUGUCACAGCUCCUCAGCAGGACAUGCAUGUCAUUUUCAACACAAUUUAUUUGCCUGUCUCCUCAUCUGGAGGAUCACAACUCUAAUUUCUGCACUUCUACUCCUGGGAGACCCCACCUGCAUCCAGCUCUGGAGUGCUGAGCACAAGAAAGACAGUGACCUGUUGG